rnacentral:rRNA from 1 species
GAUGAACGCUGGCGGCGUGCCUAAUACACGCAAGUCGAGCGAACAGACGAGGAGCUUGCUCCUCUGACGUUAGCGGCGGACGGGUGAGUAACACGUGGAUAACCUACCUAUAAGACUGGGAUAACUUCGGGAAACCGGAGCUAAUACCGGAUAAUAUAUUGAACCGCAUGGUUCAAUAGUGAAAGACGGCUUUUCUGUCACUUAUAGAUGGAUCCGGGCCGGAUUAGCUAGUUGGUAGGGUAACGGCUUACCAAGGCAACGAUGCGUAGCCGACCUGAGAGGGUGAUCGGCCACACUGGAACUGAGACACGGUCCAGACUCCUACGGGAGGCAGCAGUAGGGAAUCGUCCGCAAUGGGCGAAAGCCUGACGGAGCAACGCCGCGUGAGUGAUGAAGGUCUUCGGAUCGUAAAACUCUGUUAUUAGGGAAGAACAAAUGUGUAAGUAACUAUGCACGUCUUGACGGUACCUAAUCAGAAAGCCACGGCUAACUACGUG